GUUGUUUUUAUAAUUUAGACAUUUAUUGUUGUUACAAUACGUAUAUAUUAUUUAUUUGAAUAAAUAAAUUAAUUAGAAAAGUAAUUAUUAUUUUUUUUUAAAAUGUCAAAAUAUUCAAAACAUCGCGAUCAAAAAAUAAAUCGCAGUUACAAAAUUUAUGGAAUUUUAUCGUGAUAAUUUUAAAUAAAGUCUUCCUGUAGUUUUUUAAAUAAUUUUUUUAUAAAUAGUGAAAUGAGCUGGAAGUGUAUUGUCAUUGUAUUGACGAUUGAGGUCUGGUCAUCAAACUCAGCAGACCUGGCAAUAGAAAUCCCUGGGAAUCUGACCCAACACGGCACAUGGUACCGUUUGGACUACAACCCACCAGUUGGGGACCCACCACCCAAUACCCGGAUCCCCGCUGUAGACAUCGGAGACGUGAUAAAGUUUCAAAACGGCCUACCGGGAACUAAAUACGAGUUCUGGUUGUAUUACAACAAUGGAACCUUGCAUGACUGGUUAACAUGGACCGCGUCUAUAACGACAGCACCCGACCCACCAUCAAACCUGACUGUCCUAGUCAGGAACGGCAAGACCGCGAUCGUCUACUGGUCGCCUCCCGCGCAAGGCAACUACUCGGGCUUCCGAAUGCGCGUCCAAAGCUUCAACGACGCGACAAAUCCUCCAUCCACAACUCGUACUAGCGUAAUUUCUGCAGACGCGAUUCCUUAUACCCUUCGCGAUCUGACCCCCGGUGCCACGUACUCGCUCCAGCUCUUUACCGUACUCGAGGCCAAAGAGAGUGUCGCCUACACCAGUCGUAAUUUUACCACCAAACCCAACACUCCAGGCAAAUUCAUCGUCUGGUUCCGUAAUGAAACGACUUUGCUAGUACUUUGGCAGCCACCUUACCCUGCUGGGAUCUACACCCACUACAAGGUGAGCAUCGAGCCACCAGAUGCAAUCGAAUCAGUAUUUUACGUUGAGAAAGAAGGCGAGCCACCUGGACCAGCUCAGGCGGCAUUCAAAGAUCUGGUGCCUGGUCGCGCUUACAACAUCUCCGUCCAAACGGUCUCUGAAGACGAGACGUCUGCGCCCACUACUGCUCAAUAUCGGACUGUACCUCUAAGGCCACUUAAUGUUACAUUUGAUCGUUCUUCCAUUACCUCCAGUAGCUUUCGUGUCUUCUGGAGUCCACCUAAUGGCUCGUCUGAGUUCGAUAAGUACCAGGUGUCAUUAGGCAGCAAUAGACGUUUUCCUCCAGUUACGCGGAAUCGCUACGAAGAAGACAGCACCAUGUGGGAGUUUAAUGAUCUAGAAGCUGGUAAAUCCUACCAAGUUGUUGUCAAAACCGUUUCCGGCAAAGUCACCAGCUGGCCAGCGAGUGGUGACAUCACAUUGAAACCACUUCCAGUCCGUGAUCUGCGUGCUAGCAUUGACGAGCGUAUGCUUGAAGUUUCUUGGCGACCUGACAAUGCCAGCACUCAGGACAGCUAUCGGCUAGAGUAUCAUGAAGUUGACUCGACCUCCAUUACCGGUGACAGCAACACACUGACUAUUGAAAAAACUCGCGUUGUCCUGGAAGCGCUACUACCUGGUAGGAAUUACACGAUAAUAGUCGCAGCGAUCUCCAACAAAGUCGAGUCUAAUGAAACGAUAAUUUACCAGGUGACGAGGCCUUCGAGUCCGAUCAUCGAAGACCUCAAGUCCAUUGAACGUGGACUGAAUAUCUCGUGGAAGAGUGACGUUAACUCACGGCAAGAAAAGUUCGAAAUAACUCACACGCGAAAUGAUACCGGGGAAAGCGCAACCACGUUGACGACCGAGUCCCAUAUUAUCCUGGAAGAUCUGUACCCUGGAGCGGGGUACGAGGUGAAGGUCUUUGCGAUCAGUCACGGUCUUAAGAGCGAACCCCAUGACUAUUUCCAAGCGGUCUUGCCCCAUCCACCCCAGCAUUUGAGAAUCGAUCGCGUUGAUCAGCAUAACAAGUCAGUAUUUGUGCACUGGAGUCCACCAAUCAGUUCGCUCUUCAGUGAGUACACCAUCAGAUACCGCACUGAAGACGAGCCUCACUGGACCAGGCUGCCUAGUGUCCGUAGAACCGAAGCAGAGGUUACAGAAAUGACUCCCGGAGAACGAUACACCAUCCAAGUCAACACAGUGAGCUUUGGCGUUGAAAGCCUCUACCCGCUGCAAGUAAACCACACCGUAGCACCCAACCCCGUGGUCAAUAUCACCCCCGUCAUUGAUUCGACCAACGUUACCCUCGAGUUCGUCCGUCCUGCAGGCAGAAUUGAGCUCUUCAUCAUCACAUGGUGGCCUACGGACAAUCUGUCAGACGUCAGGUCCAAGAACGUCACCGGGCUGGACGAUGAGUCCGAGCACGACCUAGAGGAGAAGACCGAGAGGUUCGUAGUCGAGGGCCUUAUGCCAGGUGCCGAGUACUCUUUCUCUAUCAUUACGACAUCCUACGAGCUGUUUAGCGACGUAACCAAUAUUACAAGUCGCACGAUGCCCCUGAUUCAGUCUGAGGUCGUGAUCGUUGUCGACCGUGACGUUGUCAAUGUCCUGGCGCUACGUUACACUCCAACGCCGAUUCUAUCGUCACGGUUCGAUCUCUACAGGUUCCGUAUCAGUGACGAAGUGAACACGACCACGGAAAAGCUGGUUGAUGAUAGCGAUACCAAGGUGACCUUCACUAAUUUGACAGCUGGUAGGCUUUACAACGUAACUGCCUGGACCGUGAGCCAUGGGGUUGCUAGUCGGCCGCUCUACCGCCAGGAUCGUCUUUAUCCUCAACCAAUAAUGGCAAUCCAGGCCGUAGAAAUAAACGCCACGUGGAUCAGUCUCACUUGGGAUGUUCCCACUGGGGAAUUCGACGCUUUCGAAGUCCAGUUCAUCAACAGUGAAGGCGUUCUCGUGCAGAACAUCACCACGGACAACCAUAUCACCAUAAAAGACCUACAUCCUUGGCGUAACUACACGUUCACUCUGGUAGUCUGUUCCGGUCAUCAAUCUAACCAUCAUCUGAGACGGUCUCAUCCAGUAAGCGCGAGUUUUACCACCAGCGAAUCAUUCCCCGGUCGCGUAGAGAAGUUCGAUCCCACGGACAUACAGCCCAGUGACAUCAGCUUCCAGUGGCACUUGUCUGCUGCGGAAUUUAAUGGCGUCAUCACUAAAUUCACUAUCACCUACCAAUUGGACGGGUCCAAGCACACUCAGGCCAAGGACUUCAAGGCCACGGAAUCUCGAGGCGUCAUCAAAGGAUUGAUACCCGGUAAAACGUAUGCUUUUAGCAUCCAGGCAAAGACCAAAGUUGGCUACGGCCCGGAAACUGUUUGGAGACAGAAGAUGCCCAUUUUGGCCCCACCUAAACCACCCACUCAGGUCGUGCCAACUGAAGUCUGCCGGACCAGUACCACGAUUCAGAUUAGAUUCAGAAAGAAUUACUUCAGCGAGCAGCAUGGGUCCGUUAUUGCCUACACGGUCAUUGUGGCGGAAGAUGACAGCAAGAAUGCUUCCGGUUUAGAGAUGCCCAGUUGGAGGGACGUUCAGGCCUACAGUAUUUGGCCUCCCUACCAGGUCAUGGAGCCUUACUACCCAUUCAAAAACAGUUCAGUUGAGGACUUUACAAUAGGGACCGAAAACUGUGACCUCAAAUUAGUUGGUUACUGCAAUGGACCUUUGAAAUCUGGGUCUACUUAUCGGGUCAAAGUCCGCGCAUUCACGGCACCCGAUAAAUUUACCGACACCAGUUACAGCUUCGCUAUACAAACUGAAGGAUUGCUGCUAAUGGCAGCCGAUAAGGACAAUACGGCGAUUAUUGUGGGUGUUACUGUGCCAAUUGUUUUGCUGUUGACGUUACUGGGGAUCGGGUUGCUGGUAAGGAGACACAGGAACCAGCUGAGGAAGAUCGCCGAGCCUAGAGGAGGGGGUCCAACGGAUAAUUUGUCAUUGCCGGAUAGUGUCAUCGAGACUAGCCGACCAGUGAGAAUAGAAAACUUCGCCGAGCACUACAGAAUAAUGUCAGCAGAUUCGGACUUCCGGUUCUCCGAAGAGUUUGAGGAACUGAAACAUGUCGGCCGUGACCAGCCGUGCACUGCAGCGGACUUGCCAUGCAAUCGUCCGAAGAAUCGUUUCACCAACAUCCUGCCCUACGACCACAGCCGCUUCAAACUCCAGCCCGUCGACGACGAAGAGGGUUCCGAUUACAUAAACGCAAACUACGUGCCGGGCCACAAUUCUCCACGUGAAUUCAUCGUCACCCAAGGGCCGCUGCACGCGACUCGCGACGACUUCUGGCGCAUGGUCUGGGAGAGUAACAGUCGUGCUAUCGUCAUGCUGACGAGAUGUUUCGAGAAGGGAAGAGAUAAAUGCGACCACUACUGGCCCAUGGACACAGGACCUGUUUAUUAUGGCGAUAUAUCUGUUACUAUACUCAAUGAAACACGUUAUCCUGAUUGGAGUAUCACCGAAUUUAUGCUCUGUCGUGGUGACGUCAAAAGAGUGAUCCAGCACUUCCAUUUCACAACUUGGCCCGAUUUCGGAGUUCCUAGUCCGCCCCAAACUCUCGCGCGGUUCGUGCGAGCGUUCCGUGAGCGAGUGAGACCCGAUCAGCGGCCGAUCGUCGUCCACUGCAGUGCCGGCGUAGGUCGGAGCGGUACUUUUAUAACUCUCGACCGUAUUCUACAGCAGAUCCAGGUCUCCGAUUACGUCGAUAUCUUUGGGAUCGUCUGGAUAAUGCGGAAAGAGCGGGUAUGGAUGGUACAAACAGAGCAACAGUACAUUUGCAUACAUCAGUGUCUGCUUGCGGUUCUCGAGGGCCAAGACACUACGGGACCACCAAGAGAAAUUCACGACAAUGCCGGUUUCGAAGAAAAAAAUCGGUCACUGGAAAAUUCGGUGAAUCAAGAUGAGAAGGAAAGGUGAUGGUCUUGUUAUCAAGACGAUUAUUAUUAUGGAAUUUAUUUAUUAUGUGGAUGAUGAAGGAAUUGCUGAGUCAGGAAUGUGAAGAAUAAAUAACCCGAGCUUUAUACCCGAGAUUAAAACCCUACAGUAAAAAAAAAAAAAAAACAUUUUUUUUUAUCAAUUAUUUUUUCUGUUGACAAAAAAAAAAAUAAAAAAAAAUUUGUCUGUCUGUUUGUUUGAUGAACGGUCACACAAAUCUCCGUCCAAAGAAAAAAAGAGAGAGUAAGUACACAAGUAAUGUGGAUUUGUGAAGUACUUAAAAUUUUUUAAUCAUUUAUUAUUAUUUUCGCACUAGCACAUGCAUUUUUUUUUAGAUUUAUUUUUUUUUUUAUUUAAGAACAAAUAAUUUUUUUGUAGCCAAUGGAUAUUUUUUACGUAAUUGAUGAAAAAAAAAUUUUUUUAUUGUACUAAAGGCGAUUGGUAAUGAGUUUGCUCCACAAGCCGAAGGCUAAUGCAGCAAACACGUCAGUAUCUGGUGUUUUUUUACACGAAAUAGAAUUGAAAAUCGUAAAAAAAUGAUUUUAUUUAUAAAGACUAUCAGUUUAAAUACAUUUGGAUAUUACUUUGCCUCAUGAACCAAAGGCUACUGCAGCAAACACUUGAGUGUCUGCCGUUUCCACGCGAAAAUAGUUGAAAAAUCGAAAAAGAAAUGAUAUUAUUCAAUAUUAUUAGUAGUUUACAUACAUUUGAUUAUAACUUUGCCACACGAGCCGAAGGCUACUGCAGCAAACACUUGAAUGUCUGUCACUAUCACUCGAAAUUAAUUUGCAAAUCGUUAAAAAAACGAUUUUAUCUAUAACCAUUAUUAUUUUUAAUACAUUUUGUUAUUAAUUUGCUUUAUGAGCCAAAGGCUAAUGCAGCAAAUCUUCGAGUAUCCGGCGUUUUUUACGUGAAAUUGAUUUGAAAAUCGUAAAACAAUGACUUUACAUAUAAUUUUUAUUAUUUAAAAUGCCUUUGAUUAUUACUUUGCCUCAUGAGCCAAAGGCUAAUGCAGCAAACAUUCGAGUAAAUCUAUCAUUUUUUACUAAAUCUAGACUUGAGAAAAAAUUAAAUGCAUUGAUAGUUAUUUUCGAUCGAUUUCAUAAUUACUUGGCUUCGCGAGCCAAAGGCUAAUGCAUGACGUUUAAUAUUUUUUUGUUUUAAUUAAAAAUCGACGAAUAACUUGAUAACAAACAAUUUUAUUUGCAACUCUCAUAAAUGCAUUCAAUAACUUUGCUUCAAAAGCCAAUGGCUAAUGUAGCAAACGAGUUUCCUUCUUUUGUUUUUAAUGACUAAGACUUUGAAAAAAUCUCGUGACUCCUGUCAUAACUCCCGUAGUAAUUAGUUUGCUCCACGAGCCAAAGGCUGCUGCAGCAAAUUAAUAGUGCGACCACAGAAAAAUCAUUCACAGACGCUCCUAAAUAACUAUUAUCGUAAAAAAACUCUUGAAAUUUAAAAAUUAGAGUUUGUUUGCUCCACUAGCCUUCCGGCUCCUGAAGCCAAUUCGUUACCAAACGCCCAAUUUUAUCGGAAAAAAAUUUUUUUUUUCGUAAUUUACAAUUCUCAUGAAAAUGUCAAUUAUUUACUCACCGGCUACAAAAAAAAAACUCAAUUAAAAAUGACAAUUAUUAUUUUUUAAGUAAAUUUAAAUUUUAUAAUUAAGAAAACACGGACGUAUCCAGUUUUAAAAAUCAAUUAAAUGUACAUAUCAUUAAUGAAUCUCCACAAAAAAAACACAAAGUAAUUAAUUAAUUGAUUAAUUAGCGUAAUACUCUUGUUAUCGUUGCUAUAUUUUUUAUUAUUAUUAUUAAAUAUUAAUUAUUAUUAUUAUUAUUAUUAUUAAUGAAUUAUUAUCUCAUUUUAAAUGGUAUUAUAACUAGUAUUUUUAAAAAAAGUAAUGAAUAAUAUUCCAGUGCCAAUUUAUAAUUUUUAUAAUCGGCACAAGUAAGCAAUUAAAGCCGCAUAUUUUUUAUAUAUAAAUUUUAUUAAUUUAUCAUUGGUCACAAAUUAUUAUUUUUAAUUGGUAUAAUUAUUUAUUUUGUGAAAAAAUUAAUGAACAAAUUUUAGAUUUAAAAUAAUAAAUAUUAAAAAUUAAGAUAAAUAUCAAAGGAUCAAA